rnacentral:rRNA from 1 species
GACGAACGCUGGCGGCGUGCCUAACACAUGCAAGUCGAGCGAGGUAUUUAUACCUAGCGGCGGACGGGUGAGUAACACGUGGGUAACCUGCCUCAUAGAGGGGAAUAGCCUUCCGAAAGGGAGAUUAAUACCGCAUAAUAUAUACUGGUAGCAUUAACGGUAUAUCAAAGGAGAAAUCCGCUAUGAGAUGGGCCCGCGGCGCAUUAGCUAGUUGGAGAGGUAACGGCUCACCAAGGCGACGAUGCGUAGCCGACCUGAGAGGGUGAUCGGCCACAUUGGAACUGAGACACGGUCCAGACUCCUACGGGAGGCAGCAGUGGGGAAUAUUGCACAAUGGGGGAAACCCUGACCCAGCAACGCCGCGUGAGGGAAGAAGGUUUUCGGAUUGUAAACCUCUGUUCUUGGUGAAGAGAAGAAGACGGUAGCCAAGGAGGAAGCCCCGGCUAACUACGUGCCAGCCGCCGCGGUAA